rnacentral:tRNA from 1 species
GACAGCGUGGUAUAGUGGUUUGAGUGCUGGACUAUGACUCUGGAGAAUAGGGUUUGAAUCCCCGCUCGGGCA